GACGAACGCUGGCGGCGUGCUUAACACAUGCAAGUCGAACGGAAAGGCCCUGCUUUUGUGGGGUGCUCGAGUGGCGAACGGGUGAGUAACACGUGAGUAACCUGCCCUUGACUUUGGGAUAACUUCAGGAAACUGGGGCUAAUACCGGAUAGGAGCUCCUGCUGCAUGGUGGGGGUUGGAACGUUUCGGCGGUUGGGGAUGGACUCGCGGCUUAUCAGCUUGUUGGUGGGGUAGUGGCUUACCAAGGCUUUGACGGGUAGCCGGCCUGAGAGGGUGACCGGCCACAUUGGGACUGAGAUACGGCCCAGACUCCUACGGGAGGCAGCAGUGGGGAAUAUUGCACAAUGGGCGGAAGCCUGAUGCAGCAACGCCGCGUGCGGGAUAACGGCCUUCGGGUUGUAAACCGCUUUCGCCUGUGACGAAGCGUGAGUGACGGUAAUGGGUAAAGAAGCACCGGCUAACUACGUG
rnacentral:rRNA from 1 species